rnacentral:rRNA from 1 species
UACGUAUGUCGCAAGCGUUAUCCGGAUUUAUUGGGCGUAAAGCGCGUCUAGGCGGUUUUGUAAGUCUGAUGUGAAAAUGCGGGGCUCAACUCCGUAUUGCGUUGGAAACUGCAGAACUAGAGUACUGGAGAGGUGGGCGGAACUACAAGUGUAGAGGUGAAAUUCGUAGAUAUUUGUAGGAAUGCCGAUGGAGAAGUCAGCUCACUGGACAGAUACUGACGCUGAAGCGCGAAAGCGUGGGGAGCAAACAGGAUUAGAUACCCUGGUAGUCCUGGUCAAGAAACCCGAGUAGUCCACAUCGG